CUUCCGAUAGCUCAAGUGGUAGAGCGCUGGGUGCCCAUAUUUUGUUUUAGAACGUGUCGUCGUUAUUGACGCAUAGCCCAGAGAUGCUGGUUCGAGUCUGGCUCGGAGGU